UGGUUCACUUAUCUCACCGAACGAAAUUAAGUCUUGACAAAAGAAUAAACCUACACUAAACUAUACUGCCACUCUAGCCUCCCUCCUCUCUCAUGACUCAAUCUAAGUCUCUCUCAGACUUUGUUCUCGCCAUUCCCAUUGCCCUCACUCUCUCUCUCUCUCCCUUUCUGGUUUGGCACCGCCAUUGGCUGACCUCCCUUUCUCAAUCUCUCAUCCUCUCUCAGCUGUGGACUAAGGCUCGAUGACAAAGGGACAAGCAGGGGCUAAGGUCGACAAUGAAGGGAUACCGACAGAGCUCUAGUGGCGAGGGCUUGAACGGUGCAGGCGAGGGUCGACUGUGUCUUUAUUGAAGAGGUCGAACAGGUAGGCGAUAGUGUUUCUCCUUGGCACGCAUAGUGAUGUGAGAAGUUCCGAUGUCUAGGCACGUAUGACGCGGGGUAUCCCAUGGAUGGUUAACGAUCUAGAUGGUCGCCAAGAAGUUUAUGAAUUUAUAUGUUGUGUUUUAUUUUAUGCACGUUGGUGAGACUUAUUAUUUUACUUGUUUUCUUUUAAAGACUGCAUAAAGAUACUACAAUUUUAUUUUAAAACCAAUGGGCCCAAAUUGCAUGUUUUAUCAAGGCCCUGAACCUUUACUCUAAAAUGAUAUUUUUUUCUAAUAAAUAUGAGUUGAGUGA